GCAACUAGUUACGCGGGAAGCGAACGCGGACCAGUCGAAAAAGAACCGAAAAACGAAGCCGCCUUCGUUUUGUUUUCGAAGUCGGCAAAUAACCGCAAUUCCGUGGAGUUACAGUGAGCUCCACUCAGCUAGUUUUUACCGAGCCACGCCAUGCAAUAAGCACCGAAAUGGUAAGUUAAUCGUGAUAUUUUACUGUAGUUGCGCUCGUGGAAUGAAAGAGACAAGAAUUUACACAAACAAAAUGCAUUUGUUUUCCUCGUUUGCUUUAUGCGUUGAUUUUGUUCACUUCUGUACAAGAUCUAAUCGCUGGAAGAGUCUUUUGUGUGAACAUUUGUUAAAAAAGUGAGAAAAGAAAUGAAUAAAUUAACAAAAUAAAUCAAAUUAAUAUAAACAGAUCAAUUGAAAGCAGUGGUCCAAAUUUUAGCGGAUCAAACUGUUUUAAUAAAGCAGCUGGUAAGGGGGAAUUGAAUCCCAUUCGGGGACAGUUCCCAAUAAAAAGUGAGGAAGAGCUUAUAGAACUGGAAGAAAAAAAUAAAAUUAAAUAGGGACAUUUAUAUAACAGAAAUGAAAUCAAUUCUCCAGCCAGCUGGCGUUUUGAGCGGCUUGAACUUUAUUUUGAGUGAGGACAUUGUUCUGGCAUAUAACGUCGAUGGGGUCCAAGGGAAGAAGGCCCUUAGGACCCACAAAGAAUUUUUUGCAGCUUUGCUAGAAUGUAUUCCGCCUGGCGAUGAGCCCCCCGAAAACACUGUACGGAAGGCAAUGCAAAGG